CGCCUCUUGAACUCACCAUAUAAGAGGUCCUGCCUGCCCGGUGACAUAAGUUUAACGGCCGCGGUAUUUUGACCGUGCAAAGGUAGCGCAAUCACUUGUCUUUUAAAUGGGGACCUGUAUGAACGGCAGAACGAGGGCAUGACUGUCUCCCUUUUUUAACCAAUGAAAUUGAUCUUCCCGUGCAGAAGCGGGAAUUUAAACAUAAGACGAGAAGACCCUGUGGAGCUUUAGACAACAGGCCAGGCCAGGACCAUUAUUUUUAAUUAAAGUAAAAAACUAAACUUAAGCACUGUCCCUUUGUCUUCGGUUGGGGCGACCACGGAGAAAAAGAAAACCUCCACGCGGAACGAAUUACUUCCUUUAAAGCCAAGAGCCACUACUCUAAGCAACAAAAAUUUUGGCCGAAUAAAAGAUCCGGCAAAGCCGAUCAACGAACCAAGUUACCCCAGGGAUAACAGCGCAAUCCCCUUUUAGAGCCCAUAUCGACAAGGGGGUUUACGACCUCGAUGUUGGAUCAGGACAUCCUAAUGGUGCAGCCGCUAUUAAGGGUUCGUUUGUUCAACGAUUAAUAGUCCU
rnacentral:rRNA from 1 species